GAUGAACGCUAGCGGCAGGCCUAACACAUGCCAGUCGAGGGAGAAGCCCUUUCGGGGGCAGAAACCGGCGCACGGGUGCGUAACGCGUAUGCAACCUACCUUUCACAGGGGGAUAGCCCGAAGAAAUUUGGAUUAAUACCCCAUAAUAUUGUUGGAUGGCAUCAUUUGGCAAUUAAAACUGCGGUGGUGAAAGAUGGGCAUGCGUCCUAUUAGCUAGUUGGAGUGGUAACGGCACCCCAAGGCUACGAUAGGUAGGGGUCCUGAGAGGGAGAUCCCCCACACUGGUACUGAGACAGGGACCAGACUCCUACGGGAGGCAGCAGUGAGGAAUAUUGGUCAAUGGUCGGAAGACUGAACCAGCCAUGCCGCGUGCAGGAAGAAUGCCUUAUGGGUUGUAAACUGCUUUUAUAUGGGAAGAAUAAGGCGUACGUGUACGUUGAUGACGGUACCAUAUGAAUAAGCAUCGGCUAACUCCGUG
rnacentral:rRNA from 1 species